rnacentral:rRNA from 1 species
UACGUAGCAGCGAGCGUUGUUCGGAGUUACUGGGCGUAAAGGGUGUGUAGGCGGUUCUUUAAGUUUGGUGUGAAAUCUCCCGGCUCAACCGGGAGGGUGCGCCGAAUACUGAGGGACUCGAGUGCGGGAGAGGAAAGUGGAAUUCCUGUGUAGCGGUGAAAUGCGUAGAUAUCAGGAGGAACACCGGUGGUGUAGACGGCUUUCUGGACCGUAACUGACGCUGAGACACGAAAGCGUGGGUAGCAAACAGG